rnacentral:lncRNA from 1 species
CUUAUCUGUGACAAUAUCUUGAACAUUAAUGCCUUUAAGAGAAAUGCCCUUAAAAAUACCUUUAGCAAGCAUUUCCUUAGCAAACACGCUCCUAGCAACAGAGAGUAAGUUUUGUAAGGGCAUGUGAAUACGAAGGCAGAGACUGGAGUGAUGCCAAGAAAUGUGAAAGAUUUCCAGGAGCCAUCAGAAGCAAGGAAAAACGCAUGGAAAAGAUUCCGAGUGCUCAGAAGGAAGCAACCCUACCACCACCUGAUUUGGACUUCUAAGCUCCAGAACUAGCCCUGGCUGUGUUCACUGAAUGGAUCUAGUCUCUGAAAAUUCACCGACAUUUUUGGCUUGGCGCUGUGGCUCAUGCCUGUAAUCCCAGCACUUUGGGAGGUUGAGACGGGAAGAUUACGAGGUCAAGAGAUCAAGACUAUCCUGGGCAACAUGAUGAAACGCUGUCUCUACUAAAAACACAAAAAAUUAGCUGGGUGUGGUGGUGCGAGCCUGUAGUCCCAGCUACUCAGGAGGCUGAAGCAGGAGGAUUGCUUGAACCCAGGAGGCGGCGGUUGCAGUGAGCCAAGGUGGCGCCACCACUCUCCAGCCUGGCAACAGAGCGUGACUCCGUCUCAAAAAAAGAAAAAAAAAAAUUUCAGGGAUAUUUAUGUAGUGACCUGUUAUUUAAUUUUUCAAUAAUAUAAAUCUGUUUCAAGAAAAAGAAAUUUUAAAUAAACUCUUAUGAUUUUCUUUCUCCUGAAAAUUAUUCCAGAACUUAAAAAAAAAGAAGAAACAAAACAGAAAGCGAAGAGGACGUAAAUAUUCCCAUUUAGAAGCCCAAAGUCAGUGAGAUGAAACCCAACAUCAAGAAAUUGAAGCAAAGUUACUUGUGGAUAAACAAAGCAUUAGGAAAUGGACUCUCAGCUCUCUCAAAAAGUAUCAAAGAAGUGAAAUUCAUCAGACCACUGUGUCGAGACAAUGAGAUGCCAGAUGCCAGAUUCCUUAUUUGUCAUGAUUGCUUCCUUAGCCCUCCCUAGUUCCUGUUUUCCUGCUCAUAGUUACAUUUCUUCCUUGCUAUAUAAUCCCCUAAUUUCGGCUGGUUGAGGAGAUGGAAUUGAGACUGAUAUCCCAUAUCCUUAGCUGUAGCAUG